rnacentral:snRNA from 1 species
AGGCGCCCCCUCUAUUUUAAGUUUUUAAAAAUAUUUAGAUAUCUGGCAUGGCCCCUGCGCAAGGAUGACACGCAAAUUCGUGAAGCGUUCCAUAUUUUU